rnacentral:lncRNA from 1 species
CCUUGAGAUGUGAUCAACAGACGUUGGAAGUCAGUAAAAUAUUAAAUUGCGAGUGAUUCGAGUGGCAUAAUGCUGCCAAGGCAGCACGCCCGUGGUCCAUCAGCAACUGAUCUCUGUGCUCGUGAAUGUUUCACUCCAAAAGCUAUUUUUGCAGGAACUGGACGUCGAAAAUUUCAUAUGUGCAGGUAGAAGACUUUUUGACCUGCAGGAAACUAUGAAGGGUUAGCCUUGAUUGAUCACUUUUUGUUUGACGCUGAGGUCAUCUGAACCCCAAGUACUUUGAAGAUACGGGAUUUCAUAGACCAUUCGAUGUGCAGGGCACAGUCAGAGGCUCAGUACGCGUACCUGUCGUCUUUGGAUAGCCUCUCGAUACACCGAUUGGGCACGGGGCACUACGUUGCACCUUUGCUGUGCUCGGACUCGCUGCCCU